rnacentral:lncRNA from 1 species
CUUGGCUGUCUGUGCCUUCCAAGCAGACUCCAAAGUUAGGCCUGAAGCCAAAUUUACUCUCCGUCUGCCAGCAGUGAUGGAAUCCCUAGGUCCUAUCACCAGCCUGUGAAAAGAAAUCAUUCAGAAAACUGCAAGCUGAGAGACUGUGCUGAAUGGCUCCCUUGUGUAGCUCAUCCACGAUCACGGAGCGAGAAGGAGAGUGCCAGUGACACCCCGGGAAGGGCGCCCAGGUGCUGUGGAUCCUUAGUGUGAUACAUGAUCGAGGAAGCGCCCCCCCCUUUCCCUCCUUGGCACUUGCCCCACAUGAUAGGAAGGCGAGCUUCCGGUUAGAAGACACGUGCCCCGAG